rnacentral:rRNA from 1 species
UACGAAGGGUGCAAACGUUGCUCGGAAUCAUUGGGCGUAAAGCGCACGUAGGCGGCUCCAAAAGUCGGAUGUGAAAUCCCUCGGCUCAACCGAGGACGUGCAUCCGAAACUGCGGAGCUUGAGUAUGGAAGAGGGUCGCGGAAUCCCCGGUGUAGAGGUGAAAUUCGUAGAUAUCGGGGGGAACACCAGUGGCGAAGGCGGCGACCUGGGCCAAUACCGACGCUGAGGUGCGAAAGCGUGGGGAGCAAACAGG